AAAUAACAUUUUAUAAAAUAAAUAUUUUAUGCUGCUAUAACAUUCCAAACCUCAAGCAAGGAAAUACAGUAGUAGUAGAACCUGAAGACAUACAGUACAGUGGAGUGGGUAUUUUGUGUUAUUGUGCCUUUGACUUUUUUAUACAAGAUGCAAAUAAUGUUAGCAAGACUUGUAGUUUAUCACCAACAACAGUCUUUCAAUCUUCAUACAUAACAGAAUUUAGUGAAAAUGUCUGAUGAACCCAAAACAAGAAAACAUCAUACAACGUGAACAUGCCAAAUGAGAUUGAAUUAUGUGGUUUAUUCAUGAUUCAUUAAUAGUGUGUGCCAUCAUUUAGGGCCGCAUCACACAUAACACCACGUUGGGCGAAAGACACAGAAACCGGAAGAAAAUCUGUGAACAAAAAAUAAAAUGGGGAACCUCGAAACCUUCCACCUGCUACCAUCAUAGCGGUCGUUAUAGCAGAAUUUCUGUCGUCGUGUCAAUGUGAGAUAUGGUCAUUUUUCAAUGCUAUCAACAUGGAAGAUAAUUUAAUUAAUUGAAAGAUACAACAGCAUUUUAGCAUUGUGCACAGUGUUAUAUUAAAACAGGAAGCCCAGGGUCUGAUGGCAGCUGAAAAAGUUAACUUUGUGAUGCUAUAGUUUAAUUCCCUUCUGUAAUAUCACACAAAUUACUCACAUUUAUCUGUUUAAAACCCGGUCACUCUCUGCACUUAAAUAAUCUCUUCCUGUCCAUUUUUCUUCUUCAUUAAAGAUGAAACAACAUCUGCUUUGUUCUUGUUGCUACGAUAAGCAGCAAAAGUUAAAAAUUUUUAACUUUUGAUGACAAGUACUGUUGGUGCACGUGGCUGCCACGGUCCCAGCCAGAGGUGGCGGAAUUGUUCUGUCAACCUCUCAUUGAAAACAAUGAAACAUCCAGUUUUCUAUCUACUGCUUACAGACGACAUGUAAAUGCAGCAGUA